rnacentral:lncRNA from 1 species
CUUCCAUCCAUUCCAUCACAAAAAAAUCUCUGAUUCAAUCUCUUCUCUGCUUCCACCAUCGUUGUCAUGUUUCCAUCAUCAUUUCUAUGGCAAAAUCCAAUUAAAAUCACAAGAUCCAUAAAUGAUUACUAACAAUAAAUAGCAGAUCCGAAUCUGAGAAUGGAGAAAGGAAAUUUCGUCAUGGCCUAGCACACACAUAAAAGAAAAAGAGGGAGAAUUUCGUCAUGGAGAUAGGAGAAUUCUA